UUCAUUUCACCUCCAUGAAAAUCAAAUUUUUUUUUCAUUCGAUUUUCCUUGUUUUCUUUUCAUUUCCUUUCUUUUCUUACUUCUUUCUUCUCCUAACUUCUUGGGCACCAAACCUGCAGCUUCUAACCCCAUUUUCCAGCAAAACCAAACCCUUGGAGAAAGAAGGAAAAAAUCUCUCUUUCUUUCCUUUAUUUUCUAUUUCUACUCUACCAUCACCGACACUUGAAUUUUCAACUUUAAAUCUCCAUUUUUAAGGCUAAAAGGUUUUUGUUAAUCUUUAGGCCUCCAAGUUCACCAAGGUUUUAAUAGUAUUUCGGGACUACUUGGAUUAAGAUCUUGUGGGUGCUAGUCUUGUUAGGUGACAUUGUUAAGGUUUUCUGGUUUGGAGAUGAUUGGAUCGUAGGUCGGGGUGCUCCUUCUUAUCCAUUUUUGGUAGGUUUGCCAUGACACUAUACGGGAGCACCUAAGCCCAGAGUCGCUCCACUGAUGGUCAAGGUCUAAUUAUGUGUAUAUGUAUUCUUGAUAUGAAUUACUAAGAUUAAUUUGGCAAGCUAUCUAAGUAUAUUAUGAUUGAUGAUGCCCUUAUGAGUACAUACUUGGGUUUUAUGAAUUGUUUUUAAAGAAAUUAUUAUUUGAACAUUAUGAA